CCUACGGGGUGCAGCAGUAGGGAAUCUUCCACAAUGGGCGAAAGCCUGAUGGAGCAACGCCGCGUGGGUGAAGAAGGUCUUCGGAUCGUAAAACCCUGUUGUUAGAGAAGAAAGUGCGUGAGAGUAACUGUUCACGUUUCGACGGUAUCUAACCAGAAAGCCACGGCUAACUACGUGCCAGCAGCCGCAGUAAUACGUAGGUGGCAAGCGUUAACCGGAUUUAUUGGGCGUAAAGUGAACGCAGGCGGUCUUUUAAGUCUGAUGUGAAAGCCUUCGGCUUAACCGGAGUAGUGCAUUGGAAACUGGGAGACUGGAGUGCAGAAGAGGAGAGUGGAACGCCAUGGGUAGCGGUGAAAUGCGUAGAUAUAUGGAAGAACACCAGUGGCGAAAGCGGCUCUCUGGUCUGUAACUGACGCUGAGGUUCGAAAGCGUGGGUAGCAAACAGGAUUAGAUACCCGAGUAGUC
rnacentral:rRNA from 1 species